GGCGGACGGGUGAAGUAACGCGUGAGAAUCUCCCUUCAGGAUGGGGACAACCGUUGGAAACGACGGCUAAUCCCCAAUGUGCCGAGAGGUGAAAGGGUUUCCGCCUGAAGAAGAGCUCGCGUCCGAUUAGUUAGUUGGUGAGGUAAGAGCUCACCAAGGCAGCGAUCGGUAGCUGGUCUGAGAGGAUGAGCAGCCACACUGGGACUGAGACACGGCCCAGACUCCUACGGGAGGCAGCAGUGGGGAAUUUUCCGCAAUGGGCGAAAGCCUGACGGAGCAACGCCGCGUGUGGGAAGAAGGCUCUUGGGCUGUCAACCACUUUUCUCAGGGAAGAAGUUCUGACGGUACCUGAGGAAUCAGCCUCGGCUAACUCCGUGCCAGCAGCCGCGGUAAUACGGAGGAGGCAAGCGUUAUCCGGAAUUAUUGGGCGUAAAGCGUCCGCAGGGGGCGCAUCAAGUCUGCUGUUAAAGGCUGGAGCUUAACUCCGGUAGAGCAGUGGAAACUGGUGCGCUAGAGGGCGACAGGGGUAGAGGGAAUUCCCAGUGUAGCGGUGAAAUGCGUAGAGAUUGGGAAGAACACCGGUGGCGAAAGCGCUCUACUGGGUCGCACCUGACCCUCAGGGACGAAAGCUAAGGUAGCGAAAGGGAUUAGAUACCCCUGUAGUCUUAGCCGUAAACGAUGGAUACUAGGCGUGGCUUGUAUCGACCCAAGCC
rnacentral:rRNA from 1 species